rnacentral:ncRNA from 1 species
GAACGCCGUAUAGGGUGAAAGCUCUACGUACGGUGUGGUGUGGGGGAAAAGAGCGAGGAACAAUGUUCCAGACUCUUACCUAUCACAAU